rnacentral:lncRNA from 1 species
CACAAGGCUGUAUGUACACAGGCUGAGGGCUGCACUUAGCAAGUGUCCAGAUCUGUUGAUGUACCAUUGCUGUACAUCCAGCUGGACUCCUCAGAUGACUAAAUAAAGUCAGAAGAAAGGUUUAAAAUUACUCCUGCCAUCCAGAGGUGUGAACUUGCUAAGAAGAUACAGACUCUGCUGCCUGCAGUGGAACAGGGCUGCAAGUUAGGUGAGAAUGGCCUGAAGCAAUCUGUGUGACUUCAACUUGCAUUUCUAUCCAGGGAGGUGGGGUAGUCUCCUUUCAUGUUACUUUCAUAAUGAGAUUAGAGGGGAUGCAAGGUGUUAAUUAAC